ACCGCUUACUACUGCCAACCCAUUAACAGUAUUGAAUAAUUUCAUAAAUUAUGAAAACUACCAUGCUAGAACUAGUAACAAGAAAAUGAAUUUCUCCAAAGUGUAAACAUAAACCAAAACGGACAACCCAUUGGUAAUUAACGACUCUGAACCCAUUAUAGCAAAACAUCUAGAAAACCCUAUACUUAAUACCGUUAACCUUACACAAGAACUCUUCUGGAAAGAUUAAAAGGAAGAGAAGGAACUCGGCAAAUUUUAACCCCGCCUGUUUACCAAAAACAUCGCCUCUUGCUUAGUUAUAAGAGGUCCCGCCUGCCCAGUGUUUCAAUCAACGGCCGCGUGAUCUAAACGCGCGAAGGUAGCAUAAUAAUUUGUUCUUUAAAUGAGGACUUGUAUCAAUGGCAUCACGAGGGUUAUACUGUCUCCUCUCCCCAAUCAGUGAAACUAAUCUCCCUGUGAAAAAGCAGGAAUAAGAACAUAAGACGAGAAGACCCCAUGGAGCUUAAAACAAGGCAGCAAUUCAAUAACAAAAUCAGAACAAUCUUAAGCCCUGUAUGCCAGUUUUAGGUUGGGGUGACCACGGAGCAAAGCAAAGCCUCCACAACGAGAAGGGAUUAUCCCCUUACCCAAGAGACACGCCUCUAAGAAUUAUUAAAAUAACGUCUAAUGAUCCGAUUAUCGACCAAUGGACCAAGUUACCCUGGGGAUAACAGCGCAAUCCACUCUGAGAGCUCCUAUCGACGAGUGGGCUUACGACCUCGAUGUUGGAUCAGGAUAUCCCAGUGGUGCAGCCGCUACUAAAGG
rnacentral:rRNA from 1 species